rnacentral:lncRNA from 1 species
AUUCAUCCGCUAAUAGCUUGCAAAAAUUGAUUAAAAUGGAAAAACAAAAAACAAAUACACAUCAAAUUAAUAGUACAGUUAUAUAUAUGCAAGAUUAGACUAAUAUUUUAAACAUGUUUACAAGGUGUUCACCAAGGCACAAAACGGUCCAUAAGCAAACAGACUGUGGCCUCUGAAAGCGUAGAGGAAUCCAAGUCCCUCUGAAUCUGAGCCAUUCUGCUGCUCUCUUUUCUUGCUUCUUUCAACACUUGUUCUUCUUCAACCUCAUCAUCACCCUCUCCUUGUUUGCCCUUUGAUGAAAACACCAUUCGCUUCUUAGCUCCUACCUUGUCUUUCAGCUUUGCAAACUCGCUCAUCCAAACCUCCACCACUGCAGACAUAAUUGAACUACUUGAAAACUUGAAAUUAUUGCUUGGUCUUGACUCUUGAGUUUGAUCAAGGAUGAUGAGGAGAGCUGGCUAUUAUGCUUGUUGGGUUAUAUAGAAGACAGAGAGAGAGAGAGAAAGAAAGAGGGCCUUGCCCUUCAUGUGGUUUGGAUUGGAUGAAAAAUAAGUGUGUCACAGCCGUUGGAUAUAGGUUCGCACACAGGAUUUAGUUUUAGGAAUAUUCGUUGGAGAGAGAGAGAGAGAGAGAGAGCAGAAGUGGGGUAUGAGUUUUGUGGAGUGAAUGAAAAGCUUCUCCGUGGGCGUGUGUCCUCACCUCUAAAACUGAGAAACACAUCGUGGGUCCAUGAAUUGGUGAAAGAAGAAGAAGAAGAAGGGGAAGGAGCUCCUAAUAAUUGAGUGGUGUCUAGAUCCAUAUUGUUGAAAAUUGAACAGGCUGAAAGGGUUGGAAAUUAUAGUGAUUUAUUGUCCAAGAGUCUCUGGUUGGCAAUGUCAGUGGGCAGAAGAAUCAUGUGAGUGAAAAGUCUUCGUCUAUGUGGGCCCCAAGAGCCCCUACCUCUGCUGGGUCUCUCCAAUCUAGGAGAAAUUAUAGAGUAGUACCGUAUCACCACGUCAGCUGGUGAUACUUCCACUCAAAAUAUGCCAUGUGUAAUUUUUUAAAAUUAAUUAUUCUUCAUUACAGCUGGACUUUAUUUUUAUCCGCUGAAAUAAAUUAGAAAAAUAAAAAACUUAAAAAAAAAAAGAGAGAAUAUCCCAGCAACCCAACCCUUACCCCCACGCCACCCCUCUGUCGUCGUCUUCCGACUGCCAUCAACAGUCAUUAGUAAGAGAGCCAAAUCCCCACAGCCUAAUAAAUUUUUGCAACAAGGAAACUUCAUCAUCAUUGUCAAUGAAUGUUAAUAUAUGAUGGAGUUUAUUAGAUCCAAUAUAAUACCCAACACAAUCAACCCUUUCCAUAUCAAUUUCAUGCUGGUCGAUUUGUAGCCUGUUUGUUAUAGACCCACCUCCCAUCCCAACCUUCUUCACAUCUGCUAGUGAGACCUUCAUCAAUGAAAAAAUAUAUAUGGAUCUUGGGGUAGUCACCAAAAGGUUGAGAAAGUUGAAGAACGGCAACAGAGAGAGAGAGAGAGAGAGAAAUAAAUAAAAGAGAGGGACGGGGCGGCGACCAGAGCGGCGGUGCGAGGUAGGCAUGUUGGGGGUAGGCUGUGGCUAUGCUCUUUUUUUUUCCAUUGUUUAUUUUCUUAAUUUUAUUUUAAAGGGUAAAAAUUAGGUUAAUGUCCAGUUGUAAAAUAAAGUUUGAGUUGUUAAAAAAUAAAGACACAUGUCAUAUUUUGAGUGGGAAUAUCACCAGCUGACGUGGUGAUACGGUACUACUCUAUAAUUUCUCCCAAUCUAGACCCGAGGGACAGUUUUAAUUUUAUAUGAUUAUUUAUAAUUCCAACAGCUAUAUUUUAUAAUUAUCUUUUUGUUUUGCUUUCUCUUUUCGUUAUAUUUUCUUCUUUUUAUUUAUAAUUAUUGUUUAUCUUUAUUAAUGAUUGUCGUUUAUUUUUUCAAAUUCAAUGAUAAAUCACAUAAUUCAGGUCCUUUAGAAAACUACUUUCAGGUCCUUUUCACUAAUAACCAAAAUAAAUACAACCAAAUUAAUAAAUGGCUUGGCAUGAGGAGUUUAUGGCAUGGGAGCUAAGCUUUCACAAGUUUAGCAAUUUAAGAAAGAGAAAGCAUGAGUUUCUUGCAUAAUACAAAGAUCAAAAUGGGGCAGAAGAAAAUUAGGAGGAUUCCUAUCUUAGGGAAAGAAGAAAACAGCGAGAGAAGAAGAUUGGGUGGCUUGAGUAAAUUCUCAGUUGCUUGACAAAGCUUGGUCAGGCUCUGGAUGAUGAUUUUGCUGGGUAAUGAGCCCUUUGUGGUUCCAAGGGUUUGACGCAGCUGGACCUCCUCAUGAAGGUGAGGCGCACUUGCUUUCCUUCUUGGUUUUCAAAACGGAGCUAACAGAGGAAAAGAAAACAGGUAUAGUCUUUUGCCCGGUGGGUACUUUCCUUACAUACAUGGAUUUCCUUUGGUUCCUGCUAUGGCUUCCCAUUGACUGUCUUGAAGCUUUGACAAAGAUGGAGCACGAUGUCAGAUUUUUAUAAGGCGUUGGGCUGGGCUUGUGUGUACAGUGUUGGGUUAUUAACGUAUUAUCUCCAGCAUCUAAUGGGUUUUCAUCAAGCUGCCGGAAAUAGCUUACUUAUCUUAGGCAUUUUUACUGAUGUAGGUUUAUCUAAGUGUCAUAAUAGGUUACUAGAUGUCCUCCUAAGGCAUUGGACCAUUCUUUUCUCCUUCUUUCAUGCUAACCCAUGUAUUUGGGCCUGAAGAAUGGGCCUGAGUUUUAAUACUCCCAAGUAGCUUAAAACUUUCAUUCCUCGAACCCUCAAUGGGCCCUGUGAUUGCUUGUUUCCUUCCAUACCACAACAUUCUCAGCAAGCCCCGGGUAAUUUUGUGGCUUGGACUCACUUAAGCUUGUGGCACAGCUUGGUAUUAGAAUAGUGGUCCUUUGCACGGCAUUUAUUUAACAUGCUUGCAUUUGAGUUUUUAUCAUGCCGUGAUAGGCUAUAAUUGGGCCAAGUAACACUGGAUGGGUAGAUGAGCAUGAUUUUGUGGAGCCGGUAUGCUCUUGACCCCUUUUGUGCAUGCUUGCUUGGUAUGACACGUGAAUUGUGGCUUGCAUUGAUGCGUCCUUCAAAUUCUCUUUUGUUCCGAUCGGGCUCCUUUUGCAUUCAAUCUCUCUGUGUUAGGCCAGAAAUUGAUCUGGGCCUAGCUCCUUGAAUUUCUAGGCCUCAACAAAUGCAAAUCCUUUGUGACUAAAAACAAUUCUGCACUAAAAUUUUUGAAAAAUAAUAUCGAUGCCUUUAUCAACAAAAUGGCCUAAUUCACAGAAUUUAGGUAAAUUUUAAACAAAAAUUGAUUAAAAAAACCAGAGAAAUGCCAUCAUAUUUUAAUCCCCACUAGAUACAUGCACAUAAGACGCGCUUAGGAUAUUCAUUCGGAUAUAAAAUCAAUAGGAUCCAAAAUUUGGUGUUUAUCAGAUUUAGGAUGAUAAGCUAAAUUUGAUAGUCUCAAUACGACUUGAAUUGAAUUCGGUAAUCUUAUUAUAAUUCACAUUGUUUGUUAACUUGUAAUAUAAUCACCUUAAAUCACUCAAACUCACUAUGCAACACAUUUCAUUCAAUUCUUUUGUGUCAAAAUAAUUGACUACUUGAACAUCUUUUAAAAGUUUCAUUACGUCAAUGGGGUAUAACUCAGUUGACUAAGCUCUUCCACCUCCACUCAUGUAGGCAAAAGUUCGAGACACUCAGGCACCUAAUGAAUAUUUGUGUAAACCACCCCCCCAAUCACUUGUACUAUAUAAAAAAAUUCAUUACAAAUUUUCAUGUUUUUCUUAUCAUUUCCAUUAUUUUUAAAAAAAAAAUCUAGUUUUUAUCAAUAUCGAAAAUUUUUCACGUAUAUAUAUUUCCAAAUUUUUAGACCACAAAUAUUUUUGAAACCAUCGAUAUUUAGUACCUUACUUCUUACCAAAAAACUUUCUGUAAGGAUUGUAUUUUGACAUGUUUGUUGUUUGGCUCUUCUCUUGUAUUUCACAAAACCAUUGUAUUAAUUCUUGUUAUAGACUAGAGGUUGUGUCUGAAAUAGAUUGAAGAUAAAUUCGAGUCCUCACGUUGCUGCCAAAGGUAAAUCUCACAUGCAUUCUCACUGGAUUAAUACAUGUUCACGUGUAUUAAUCCAACAUUCAUUCUUACGUGUUUGCUGCAACAUUUCUCUUUAUUUCAGCUUUGACAGACUUUCUUAAAACUCUGUCUACAAAAGGAAUAAUUCUAUCUUUGGUGGUGGUGUCUUGAGCCGCUCCCAUGCUAAAAGUCUGGAGCUUGAAAAAACAGUGUGAUUUUCAAAAGCUCUAUAUAUAUAUUCUUCUAGACAGAGUUGCAAAAACAACUUUUUGACUCAUGCAUUUUUAAUAGAUGACUUAUGCCUUCUUUCUAGAUAUACUCUGGACAUGAAAACCGAGAGGGAAUAAAACUCUGAAAAGAGUUUGCCUUCAGCCAAAGUUCAUAUCCUGAGGGUUAUGAGAAUGAUUGCAUUCACAUAAAUGCUUCCCCAAGAUGACUUUAAAGCUUUAAUGGCUGGCUGUUUUUUCUUCACUUCAAUCUUCUUUAAUGUUUCAGCUAGUAUAUGUUACUUGAGAGUAUACGAUUGAUAGUAUACAUAUAACCUUCUCCGUGUAUACAUUUACAAGAUUGCGGCUGCAAACCUUUUCUUUGUUGUUGUUAUGUUGAAUUAAACUACAUGCUUCAAGUACUUUACUUCUAGUUUAUUCUUCACGACACUUAGGUUUCAUUUGUCUAGCUCAAUUAUUCUCUGUGAUUGAGAUAGAUGAAUCUUGAAAUCAUGACUCACCUCAUACAUCAAAAUUACAUACAACUAGAGCUUGGUGCUCUUGAGAGGAUUUGCUGCUACGAGAUAAAGAAAAGGUGCUUGUUGAAAGGUUGAUUGAAGCUGCCUAUAGGUGAUAGAUUGAGCUAAGUCUUCUUUCAUUUUUCUUGUAUUUCUUAAUGAGUGGAUUGGAUCUCUCCUGAUUUGGUGCUCCCAGUUUUUCACCUACUUGGGUUUUCUGGGUCAACAACUCCUGUGUGUCGUUUACUUUCAGCUGUUAAUUGUCUUCCCUUAUUAAUCACAUAAUUGUUUGUAUGUGUAUGUGUACGACUUAACAGAACUUUUUAAAAUUGGUAGGUCUUUGACCGGUAGCCUACUUCACCCCCCUUUGUAGGCUCUUAGAGCUUAGGGUUUGGUUUUACACGUUCCUUAUUUAUUGUAAAAUUAAUGAGACUAACUAUUUAUAACAAAAGCCAUAAUUUCACUCAUAAUAAGCAUCAAUAUACAUUACAGAUGCGAAGUAUUUUCCUGUCAUCUUCAUAGUGGAUGUGAAGUCAAAGGAAAUAAGAAAAUGGUCAAAAGGAAACACCGACAAACCACAAAAUGAAAAAGAAAAAAGAAGCAUCAAUACACUUUCGUUGCAACAUUGGUGUUUACCAAGUAGUUGGGGUGUGGAAAAAAAAGAAGACAAAAGGUCGAUUGUUGAUGAAGUUGACUGAAAUAGAUCAGGAUUUUCAAAAUUAACCUCCAUAAUUGUUAGAAGACAAAAUUUUGUUAUUGGCGAGUCAAUUAAUUCAUAAAAUUGAGCUUUCACAUUGGUGAAAAGUUGAAGGUUUUUCAUCUUUGAGAAGCUGUCAUCACUCAAGCAUAUGUCAUCUGGUGUCGGAAACUUUGCUAUGAUGCCUUUAAUAUUGUUUGUUUCCUAUUAUUAAAAAAAAAAAGAAGUUGUUUUAACAUACAAAGCUUUAUAGCAAAUAAAAAUGCAAGUGUACACACACACAGAGACUUACUGUUCCUUCUGUUAGAACACGAUAAACAUUCUCGUGAAAUCACAAUCUGCUACGUUCACUAGGCUCAUUUGGCGACUCUUGAUAAACUAUUCUUCUACCCAAUUCUUCAAGCAAGUCAUGCAUCCCAAUUGUGCCUUGUUCAAUAUUUAUGAGGGCCUUGUCUACGAGUACUUUAAUAGCAUACUUAGGCUUGAGGUCACAACCUUCCAGGAUCGGUAUCAUAUGGUUCACCUUUCUACCGUUAAAGAAACAUGCUAUGUCAAGGAAAACUUCUUGCACUGAAUAUUCCAAUGCAUCAUAGCUUAUUUUGAGAGUUUUUUUAAUGUCCGAGUGCAGAUUCCCAUCCAAUGCAUCAUGCCACUCAUCUAUACUUCUACCACAUAGAUGAGAACCUAAAACCUUGAGAGCUAAAGGAAGACCUUGAGCAUGCUUCAGCACACAUUCUGCAAGUUCCACAUAAUCAUCAUCCAAAUUUCUAUUUCUUGUAAAACCAUUCCAACUAAAGAAGAGAUCAAGAGAUUCAUGAUAAUUUAAUUUCUUUGCCUCGUAGAUUAUACUAACUCAAUGAGAAGUUAGCAAAUGCUUAUCUCUUGUCGUUAUGAUAAUUCUACUGCCCAAACCAAACCAAUCACAACCUCCAACUAAGUUGUUUAAUUGGUCCAAAUGAUCCACAUCAUCUACAAUUACAAGGACCUUUUUACCACUCAACCUUUCCUUUAUCACACUGAUUCCUUUAUCGGCACUGGUAACCUUUAUUUCCUUUCCCCUUGGAAUCUCAUAAAGAAGAAGAUUUUGUAGGUCGACUAGGCCUCCAUAUGGUAUUGAUCUUUCUCUUACAUUUUCCAGAAAACAACUCCUUUCAAACACUUGGGCCAGUGAGUUAUAAACAGCUUUAGCAACAGUUGUCUUUCCUAUUCCACCAGUCCCCCAUAUUCCUACCAUGCAAACGUCAUUUCCGUAAACAUCUAAAACUUUAUGAAGAUCUCGUACACUAGCCUCUAUUCCAACUUGGUAUUUUGCCACAUUGAUAUGGAUAUCAUUUAAUACUUGUAAGGAAAUCUCGUUGACAAUGUUCUGAAUAAAUUCAGUUUCACGGCUGCCAAUUUGAAGCACAAACAACAUUUAAAUAAAAUGGGAUUUUUCUAUAUAUAUUUUAAAGAAGUGCUCGACUCAAUACUAGUGUCAAUUAUGUCGUGAAUCUAUAUAUAUAAAGCAAAAAGCAGAGAAUGGUGAAACAUUCAAAAUACCAUAAAUGUCAUUGAUUAAUGCAAACAUUAAGAAUUGAAAUUAUUAAUUAAAUGAGGAUAAUAUGGUAAAUUCACACUUUUUCAUAUUAAAAAUAAAUUAAAAUUAAAAGAAAAAAAAUUAGAAAACACGUGACCAAGCUAUGAUGUUAGGGAAAGCGUGUGAUGGAAUGGACACUAGGAUAACAAUAGAAGAGAUUGGUUUUCGUAACAGAGUGAUUUUAUUAGAAAGGAGAGAAGUACACUGCUUGGUAGCUAUUAUAGAUAUUUGAUACUAUUAUCUUCAAUAUUUGAUAGCUAUUAUAGCAUUUUCGGAUCCUAAAUUACUCUAGAAAUUUCUACCAAAUGUCCAUCAUAUUUUAACAGUUACAAUAACAGAUUCUGCAACCCUGGGAGAAAUAAUGUAGCUAUUGGUUGGCUAAUUAGCCUUUCAGUGAUGUAACUAUUUGCUGCAAUUUAUAUUACUGUUGUAUUGAUUCAAUUAUAUUUAUAUAAAAUAUAUUCGUUGGUUUUUAUUAUUUUGUUAUUUUGGUUUUAUACUGAUUGUUUUACAACAACUAGUACAUCAGUCGUUAAACACCUUGCAAUUACAUAAAAAUUUGAAUGCAAACCCUUUGUGUCUUGAAACAAUUCUGCACUAAAUUUUUUGAAAAAUAAUGUUGAUUCCUUUAUCGACAAAAUGACUAAUUCACAAAAUUUAGGUAAAUUUUAAACAAAAGUUGAUUAAAAAAGACAAGAGAAAUGCCAUCAUUUUAAUCCCCACUAGAUACACGCACAUAGUGGAUGUGAAGUAGUUUCCUGCCAUCUUCAUAGUGGAUGUGAAGUCAAAGGGAAUAAGAAAAUUGUCAAAAGGAAACACCGACAAACCACAAAAAGAAAAAGACAAAAGAAGCAUCAAUACACUGUCAUUGCAACAUGGGUGUUUACCAAGUAGUUGGGGGUGUGGAGAAAAAAAACAAAAACAAAAGGUCGAUUGAUGAUGAAAGAUAACUAAAAUAGAUCAGGAUUGUAAAAAAUAACCUCCAUAAUUGUUACAAGACAAAAUUUUGUUAUUGGCGAGUUAGUUAAUUCACAACGCGUCAUGCUAACUAUUAGAUAGAAAAGUAUUCAUACGUGAGUUUAAUAUAUUAUCGUCUUUCUCAAUAAGAAAUGUGAAACAUUCAAAAUACCAAAAAAUAUCCUUGGUUAAUGCAAACAUUAAGAAUUGAAAUUAUUAAUUAAAUAAGAAUAAUAUGGUAAAUUCAUACUUUUUUAUAUUAAAAAAAUUAAAAUGAAAAGAAAAAUCAGAUAAUGAAUCUUAUUUUUAUGAGACACAACUACUCAUCAUCUUUUUAAUUCUAAAAUAAUUUUUUUUUCUUCAAAAAGCCUCUCACAAGCGCAAAAGCUCGUGCGGAGAUGCUAGUUAUAAAUAAAUAAAAACUAGUGUAUUUUGUUUUUGUUUGUUUGUUAAAAAAUAAUAUAUGGUUUAAUGGGUUGUCCUGUUAAGGGAAAGCUUAGAGGCAAUAAUUUAAACUUUUGGAAAAACAAUAAUCCCAAAUGUACGAACCAUUCAUCCGCUAAUAGCUUGCGAAAAUAUAAUUAAAAUGGGAAAACAAAAAACAAAUACACUAGUAAUAAGUUUAUGUAUCCACUAAAACUUAAUUACAUGGAGGCAAUCCAAUGGAUCACUAAUGAUUUUUUCAUCAAAACAACCUAGUUAUAUAUAAUUACCGAAAAAACUAAUGACUCAUUUUUCAUGGCCAGAGAAGCGAGCAAAGGUCCUUCAACAAAUAAAACAUGUGUACAAGGUGUCACCAAGGCACAAAACGGUCCAUAAGCAAACGAACUUUGGCAUCUGAAAGCGUAGAGGAAUCCAAGUCCCUCUGAAUCUGAGCCAUUCUGCUGCUCUCUAUUCUUGCUUCUUUGAACACUACUUGUUCUUUAACCUCAUCAUCACCUUCUCCUUGUUUGGCCUUCGAUGAAAACACCAUUCGCUUCUUAGCCCCCACCUUGUCUUUCAGCUUUGCCAACUCGCUCAUCCAAACCUCCACCACUGCAGACAUGCUUGAACUUGAAAACUUGAAAUUCUGGCUUGGUCUUGACUGUUGAGUUUGAUCAAGGAUGAUGAGGAGGGCUGGCUAUUAUGGUUGUUGGGUUAUAUAGAAGAGAGAGAGAGAGAAAGAGAAAGAGGGCCUUGCCCUUCAUGUGGUUUGGAUUGGAUGAAAAACCAGUGUGUCACAGACAGCCGCUGGUUAUAGGCUCGCACACAGGAAUAUUCCUUGGGAAGAGAGAGAGAGAGAGAGAGAGAGAGACUAGAAAGUGGGGUAUGAGUUUUGUUGAGUGAGUGAAAAGCUUCCCCGUGGGUGGGCGCACGGAACUCUCUUCUUUAGAUUAAUCUUGUGGGCGACUUAGCAUAUUACUAUUCAUAAUAAUAUUCCAUUGCAUCUUAGUUUUCCUUGUGUCUUAUUCCAACAUUGCAAUUCUCUUUCUCCGAAAUACCCAUUCACCUCUUCAUCAUCAGUAAAAGUAGCCAUCUUCAUUAUCUUCACAGCUGAAGUAGUCAUGUUCCGAGUCUUGCUCAUCUUCACAUAGAUCAAUACAAUUAUCUCCAUCAAACCUCUCAUUAGCAUCUUCCAAGUCAUCGGAUUCAGACUCACCAUCUUCCGUAAAUAUAGACAAGUCUUCAUCAUCCUGUGUCAUUACCAGGUGGACCCCGAAGCUUUUUAAACACAGCGAAUCUAGUGUCAAAUUCAGAAAAUUAACUCGACACGCAAAAGGCGACCGCGGCCAGGUAAUCUGAUCAUCCCGGUAAAACAUUUCGCUGAAUCGAAUAUAGCACAGCCACACAUGACCUGACCCUAUACCAUGACCUGACCCGUUCUUUCUGAAAUCGGACGCAGUAAAAUAAGGUUCCACUCCUGGUUGAUUCACGGAAAUUUUUGUUACAAAACCAUUGUAACGUGGUCUUUUGUUUUGCGGGUUUUCACCAGCAGCGUAUAGAGCCAAUCCUUGGUUCUGGCAUUUGAAGUUUGGAGGGAUUUCAAUCAAAAAUUCACAUGCUUCAUCACGCUCCUUCACAUACUUAUGACAGCUGAACAACGUCGAGAGAGCUUCAAAACUUGCUGGAAAUACAACCUGAAAUCCAUGUUUCUGCGAAGACAGAAGGUGAUCAAAGAAGAUAGUGAUCUGCUCCUUUGCUAAAAUGUUUUGCUUCUUUCUGAGGUCACAAGCCAGAUUGCCGCAGAGUCUGUGGCAAUUACACAAGUCCACCAACUUAAUCAUUUGUGAGUCUUCUUUACCCUUCAGAAUGUUGGACAAUGAUGAAAACCUUUCCAAUGAUACGCAAUCACUUGCAUCUAACUUUACUAUUUUUGGUGGAAGUUCCGGAAUAUCUCUAAGCCUCUUGCAGCCAUGCAAGUAAAGAUACCGCAUAUUGACAAAUUUCGUAAUGCAUUUGGGAAUACUUACAAGGAAAUCACAUAGUGUUAGAUCAAGUUCGCUCAAUGUAGACACAUAAUCUUCAGACUUCACUUUAUUUGGAAAUGUAACAAGCUUUCGACUUCUUCGGAGACAAAUGCGGUUUAAAUGUUCCAACUCAUAAAUGCUGGGUGGCAGAUUCGUAAGAUUUUCACAACUGCUUAGGUGUAAUAACUCAAGAUUGAUGAGAUAUACAAUUGACGCUGGCAAUUCUUUGAUGCCACUACCAUGUAGAAACAUGUAACGUAAGGAAUCCAUCUUUCCCCCAAUAUCAGGGAAAGUCUCCAGUCUUCUGCAAAAUUGAAGAUUGAGAACUUCUAGAGAUUUUGACUUGAUUAUUGGAAAUAGUGUGAGGUUAUGGCAACACAUAAGACUCAAGUCCACAAGCUUAUCAUGAAAUCCAACAGAAGGAUGAACCUCAACUAAACUUCUGCAGUAGUCUAGAUUCAAGGACUGUAAGUUUGGAAUUCCAGAGAUAUUUGGGGUUUUUGUUAGGAGUUCACAGCUCCUAAAAUUCAUGGACGUCAAAUUUUGCAAACGCUAUAUAAGACAAAAAUAGAAAAGAAAAAGAAGGAUCAAACGAUAAGGCAUAAACAAGUUUAAGCCAUAACUCCAGAAACUUAAUAAACUUUUGAAAAUACGAAGGGAUGAAAAUAAUUUAAAUUACCUUGAAUCCCUCCCCAAGUUGUGACAAGCGGCUACAAGGCAUAUAAAGUUCAACAAGUUUCCUUGGAUUGAAAGUAGAUGGUAAAGUUUGUAGAGGACAACCAGGCCAAUGAAGAAACCUCAACUCAUUAGAUAGAUAAUCCACGUGAUCGCCAUAAAAUCGUGCAUUCACAUUGAUGAAAAGUCGAAGGUUUUUCAUCUUUGAGAAGCUGUCAUCACUCAAGCAUAUGUCAUCUGGUGUCGGAAACUUUGCUAUGAUGCCUUUAAUAUUGUUUGUUCCCUAUUAUUAUAAUUUUUUAAAAAGUAGUGUUAACAUACAAAUUUCAAUAGCAAAUAAAAAUGCAAGUGUACACACACACACACUUACUGUUCCUUCUGUUAGAACACGCACUACUACAAAAAAGCAAAAAGACGACGGUAAAUCACCGUCGUGUAUUCGGUUUUUCAAUGGUCGUGGAAUCCACCGUCAUCUUUUCCCUCAUAAACCACGACGCUAAAUCACCGUCGUUGUUAAAAUAUACAACGUCAUCAACAAAUACAAAACGACGUCUUUGUACUGCAAAAAGAUCUAAAAAAGCAGUCGAGGAUGAGAAUAGACGACCAACUCUCUAAAAAAACCGUCGUUAAAAAGGAAAAAUAUGACACAUAUUAAGAUAACAAGGCCGCAAGAUAGACAUACAAUGACGAAAAUAAAAAUACCACGCCGUUAAAUAUCAUUUUCACGACAAUAAAAAAUUUGACGUCUUUAAAUACAUUAGAAGACGACGUUAUUGAUACCUACUACGUCGCAUAUAUAAAAACAGCCGUCGUAAAAUUAAUUUUCCACUUCGAUUUUUCGAUAAAAGAUGACGUGGAAAUAGUUGUCAGUGUCAUUAUUUACGACGUAUGUAUUUAUAGAGUAGACGUUGAAAAACGAAACAACGUCAGUUACAAAUAUAUGAGAGUCGUAUUACAAAAUUUAUACGUCAUAUUUUCAGAAACAAACAACGACGAUAAAUAUUCAACGUUGUUAAAUAAACCAACGUCGGAAAACAAUAAAAACAGACGUGUUUAGUCUGCUAAAGUUCUAGAAAAUAGUCGAGGAUGAGAAUAGACGACCAACUCAAACAAAUCACCGUCGUUAAAAAGGAAAAAUAUGACACAUGUUAAAAGAACAAGGCCGCAAGAUAUACAUACAACGACGAAAACUAAAAUACUACGCUGUUAAAUAUAAUUUACACGACAAGAAAAAAUAUGACGUCUUUAAAUACAUGAGAAGACGACGUUAUUGAAAUAUACUACAUCUCUUAUUUACAAACAACCGUCGUGAAAUAAAUUUUCCACUUCGAUUUUUCUAAAAAAGAUGACGUGGAAAUAGUUGUCAGUGUCAUUAUUUACGACGUAUGUAUUUAUACAGUUGACGUUGAAAUGCGAAACAACGUCGGUGGCAUUUAUAUAGUCGACGUUGUAUUUAUAUCUAUCAUCAUUACUCACGACGCACUUAAUAAUAUAGACGACGUUGAACUUCUAAACAACGUCGGUUCCAAAUAAAUGAGAGCCGUAUUACAGAACAUAUAGACGGCGUUGAUUAUGAUGAGAGCCGUAUUACAAAUAACGUCGUUUAAUUGUUAUUAGACGGCGGUUAUAAUGAAUUUCCGUCGGAAUUCAUUUCGUUCCUCUUCGUUUAUAAAAGAACUUGCGACGUGGAAAAUGUAUGAUGACGUCGUAUUUUUUAACGUUCAGAUUAUAUAUCUCGUUUUUUAGACGUCGGUAUUAUGGGAUUGGAGUCGUGUUAUUUUGAAUUACAUGGCGGUUCUUAAUCCUUCCCCGACGUGAUAUCCUGAAUAAUUGCUUCACAAUAGCGUCGUGGUUCUUCAUUGUUACGUUGCUUUAAGACGUCGGUAAAUAUGCUGAAUAACUGGUUCACAAUAACGUCGUGUUUUAUUUGAACGUAGAAAGUGAAGAAAUCACAUUACAAUAUAUUACAAAAUUAAUGUCAUACACUGCCAAUUACAUAAGCAUCAUUCAAUCCAUAUAUCUUCACACCCAUCUCGAAUAUUUUGACCGCCUAACUCACCCACCAGUUCAUCAAAUGUGUCAACAUUUGGCAUCCCUCUAGUAAAUGGCUCACACUCAAUUAUCACAUCACCUAAGACUUCAUCACCAAUAACAUCAUUAUAUUCUCUAUUAGGCAUUGAUAACACUACCGACCAACUAUGAUGCAUCGGGUCGUCAACAAAAAAUAUUUGUUUGACUUGAGAAGCCAAAACAAAUUGGUCAUUCCUAUGUCCAAUUUUACUCAAAUCUACAAGGGUAAAUCCAAGUUCGUCGACUACAAGACCAGAACUAUCUAUCCAAUCACACCUAAAGACUGGGAUUGUAAACUUUUGGUAGUCAAGGUCCCAAAUUUCUUGAAUGACACCAUAGAAACCCAUAUUUGAGAGAAUUGGGUUUUUAUCCUUGGCACUAGCAACUUGCAUGGUAUGUGCAAGUAAAUAAACUCCACUAUUUUGAGUUGUCCGCACAUCAUCUUGUGCCUUGAUAUUGAAUUUAAUACCUUUAAUAAGAUAGCUCCUAUAUAAUGGCACUGACAUGUUUGGACCAGCUGCUAGCCACCUUAAAUUUUCUGAUACGCCGUGAUUGUCUUCCUCAAGUUCACUUUGAACCUGCAAAUUAAUCAUAUCUUAAUUCAAUCUAACAUAUAAAUAAGAAGAAAAUUAAAAGAGAAAUAUGUUAUUCAACAACAUAUACCUUGAAGCGUAGCCAUUGAAUGAAAGUGCUAUUGUGCUUAUCCUGCAGCCACUUUGUUCUCUUUCUAAAUUUUGGAUAAGCAAUCUUGAUGUGGAUCAUAUGUUGCCUACAUGACACGAAAAAUUCAAGCAUUACGGUCCCAAAUAUAGAAGAUAAACAUAAGAAAUAAUUUAAAAUGGAAACUUAAAGAAUAAAGCUCAUACGUACUCGAUAUAAGGUAGGACUUCCUCCGUAUUCUCCAAGACAUAUAGAUGUGCUUGAUUCAAUAGGUCCUGAUCAACUACGCUCACUGUGCAACCUGAUAAUGGCUUUGAAAGUCCCAUCUUUUGGCUUGAAGGCACUCCAACUGUACUAACAUCAGAUAAAUGCUGAGUACAAAACUCUACCGCUUCUUCAGCUAUAUACCGCUCAGCAAUGCAACCUUCGGGACGAGUACGAUUCUGAACAUACCCCUUCAGCACUUUCAUAUAUCUUUCAAACGGAUACAUCCACCUAAAAUAUACUGGCCCACAUAGACGAACUUCUCUGACAAGAUGUACUACUAGAUGAACCAUGAUAUCAAAGAAUGAAGGGGGAAAGUACUUCUCAAGCAAACACAGAGUAACUACUACAUCUUCUUCCAACUUAUCUAGCUUGGAAACAUCAACAGUCUUUGCACAUAUAGCAUUGAAGAAGAAGCACAAACGAGUUAUUGCAUACCUUGCAGGCUUCUCCAAAACAGAACGAAUUGCCACAGGGAGCAAUUGUUGCAUUAAGGUAUGACAAUCAUGUGAUUUAAGGCCAAGAAGUCUUGAAUCUUGUAAAGAUACAAGAUUUUUAAUAUUUGAAGAAUAACCUUCAGGGACCUUCAUACCAUAGAAAGAAUUGCAAACCUCUCUCUUCUCUGCUCUUGACAAAUUCCAAGGCCCAGGAGGCAAACGAGUACGUCUUUCUCCAUACUCGGGUUGCAAAUCAGUUUUGACCCCCAUGUUCAAUAAAUCUAAUCGAGCAGCAAUCCCAUCUUUAUUUUUUCCAGGGAUCUCCAGCAAUGUACCAAUGAUACUAUCGCAAACAUUCUUCUCAAUGUGCAUAACAUCUAGGGCAUGCCUCACAGGAAGGUAUUUCCAAUACUCGAGAUCAAAGAAUAUUGAUUUCUUCUUCCAACAAACUCUGUCACCAUUUUCAACCAUAUGCAGCACUUCUUCUCCGGUUAAUGGCUCGGGAGGUAUGCCAUAUUCAGGUUUCCCAUUAAAAGCUGCACGUUGCCUCCUAUAUGGAUGAUUGAUUGGUAACCAUUUUCUAUGCCCAAUGUAACAAAUUUUGUGGCCAUUUUUCAACCUGUGACUAGGUGUAUCAUCGCCGCAUAUUGGACAAGCUUUAUAUCCUUUAACAACACAACCAGAUAAGUUUCCAUAGGCGGGGAAAUCAUUAAUUGUCCACAUUAAUGCAGCUCUGAGUGUAAAGUAUUCUCCAUUAUGUGCAUCAUACACUCCUCUAAUCCCAACCCACAAGGAUUUUAAAUCAUCAAUCAAAGGCUCCAAGUAGACGUCUAUAUCAUUUCCGGGUUGUUUAGGACCGGAAAUCAAUAAGGUUAACAUCAUGAACUUUCGUUUCAUGCACAGCCAUGGAGGGAGAUUAUAUGUAACUAAGAUAACCGGCCAACAACUAUAUCUGCUACUUAGAGAACUGUGGGGGAUUGAAUCCAUCAGAUGAAAGAGCCAAUCUCAAGUUUCUCGGCUCAUUACCAAACUCAGGCCAUUUAUCAUCAAGAAGUUUCCAAGACGGGGAAUCCGCCGGAUGAGACAUCUGACCGUCAAUUGAUUUUCUAGCAGCAUGCCACCAAGUCAAACUCUUAGCUGUCUCAUGUGAUUGAAACAUCCUUUUAAACCUUGGAAUUGGGGGAAAAUACCACACCACCUUCGCUGGCACACCCUCUUUCAAGAUUGAAUCUUUGCCUUCCUUCCACCUUGAGAUACCACAAGUAGGACAAUUAGUUGAAUCCUCAUACUCCUUCCUAUACAAGAUGCAAUCAUUGGGGCAUGCGUGCAUUUUCUCAUAACUCAGCCCCAAUGCACACAAAGUCUUUUUAGCCUCAUACAUGGAGGUUGGUAUUGUAUUUCCUUCUGGAAGCAAAUCGCCUUGAAGUAUCAAUAAUUCUGUAAAACAGACAUCACUCAUCCCAUGUUUUGCCUUCAAAUUAUACAACUUCACUAAUGCCGAUAACUUCGUGUACUUUCUACAACCAGGGUACACUGGUUGAUCUCCAUCCCCAAUCACAUUGGCAAACUCAUACGGAUCCGAACCAAAAUCACCAAAAUCAUUAUCAUCCAUAUCAAUUUCUUCAGACACAAAACUGUACCUACUAUGGCCAUCAUCUUCUUCAACAUUUCUGCUAGCAUUAGUAGUUGCUUCCCAAGGUUCUCCGUGAAAUGUCCAAUUCUUAUAGCUUUGGUCAAUUCCAUUAAAGUAUAAGUGAUCCCUUAUAAUUCCAACCCCAAACAACUUCAAAUUAACACAUUUAACACAUGGACAACGGAUAUGUGUUGUAGUUAGAAGAUUUUCUACAGCAAAGUUCAAAAAUGCUUCCACCCCAACUCAUAUGCCUUCGAUCUUCUAUCCGAGUGCAUCCAUGACUUAUCCAUCUCCGACACUAUAACCUAUUAUCUAUAAUAAAGUGAAAAUACAGGCAAUGACCAUCACUAUAGCAGAUUAUACAAUGAUCUAAUCGCAAGUAAUACACAACAGAGACGACGGGUUUUAAACAAAAACAGACGUAUUUGGAAUAUAUAGACGACGGAUUUUCAACAGACGUCGUCUAUUAUAAGUAAUACAAACGACGGUUUAUGAAAAAACUAUCGUGUAUAAGUAAUACAACGACGGUAGUUUAAAAAAACCGUCGUGUAAUCGUCGUCGUAAGCCUUAAAAUUCGUCGUGUCUCAGUUUAUUUUCAAGAACACAAAACCCAUUAAGAACACAACAUAUAUAUGAAACCAAGCAAGAAACCAACAUAUACAUGAAACCAAGCAUGAAAACAAUAAAUCCAUUCCCAAUUCAACAUAACAUAGGGUGAUUAAAAGAUACGACAAAAUUAAAUCCAUUCCCAAUUCAACAUAACAGAUAAUGUAAUCCAUGAACCCAUUAAACAGAAAAUCCAUGAACCCAUACCUAUAAGCACAUUAUUAACAGAUCGCAAAGCAUACACAUAAAACCCUUUAACAAAACAACCUAAUAUAACUCGAAUCGUUACUAGAAUCAUCACUCGAAUCUCCAUCUUCAUUAUCAGUUUCUUCCUUCGUAGGUACUAUUUGCUCCCCAUCAUUGGUGCACUUUGCACCUUCUCCAGAGCGGAAAAUGACAAGAUCAAAUAAAGGUGUACUUUUGCUGGAAAUCAACACAAAAAGACACAGAUCAUCAACUUCCAAAUGAUUGUCACGCACAACGUCCAUCCAACCACGCCUGAAUUGUAUAAGUUUUACAAUGUUGGUUUGAGCAAAGGAAGGCCCAGAUCAGGCGNNNNNNNNNNNNNNNNNNNNNNNNNNNNNNNNNNNNNNNNNNNNNNNNNNNNNNNNNNNNNNNNNNNNNNNNNNNNNNNNNNNNNNNNNNNNNNNNNNNNAGCAUGAAACAAUAAAUCCAUUCCCAAUUCAACAUACAUAGGGUGAUUAAUAGAUACGACAAAAUUAAAUCCAUUCCUGGAUGGACGUUGUGCGUGACAAUCAUUUGGAAGUUGGUGAUCUGUGUCUUUUUGUGUUGAUUUCCAGCAAAAGUACACCUUUAUUUGAUCUUGUCAUGAACCCCUUUAACAAAACAACCUAAUAUCAUUCAAUGAAUUUACAAGGGGAAGAUAGGGUUUGUACUUACAGGUUGGACGAGCUCACAGAUUCGACGGAGCCUGGAGAGUGCAACUUUUAAUUAGAGCAGAAGUGAGAGAGCGAAAUGUUAUGUCGCGCGAAAUCUGAAAAUUUUAGGUUUCAGGGUUCGAAGUAUAAGAAUAAGAGCCAAAUCUAAAAAAAUUUAGGUCGCGCGAAAAUUUUUAGAGCUCGCGCGUUUUAAAACGUCGAAAGAAAAACCAAGGCGAAAGUUCUACAAGUACCGACGUAAAUUUAAUAUUCCACGACGGAAACUUCAUUUUUCGAAUUAAGAACGUAAGGCCGUUCAUUUUGAAGCUUCAUUUUUCGGAUUAAUUUUAAAUUUAUUUUGAAUUUUUUAUAUAACGACGACUGAAAAACCACGUCGGUGUUAAGAAAUUAAAGACGUUGUAAAUCAUAUAAACCGACUUACAUAUUAAAAUGACGUCGUUUAAAGCGUAAACCAUGUCGUAUGUUUUUCUGUACGACGUAAAAUAUGUAUUCCACGACGCAACCACCGUCGUUAAAAAUUAAUACCCUAAACCCAUAAAACUAAAUUAUACAAUUUAAAAAAUUAAGUUUAUAAAAGGUUUUAUGGUUUUAAAGCCUAACAUAUACCCUAGACUACCCAAAAAUUAUACUUUAAAAAUAAACCCCAAUAAAUAACAACCCUAAUCUCUAAACCCUAGACUCUAAACCCUAAACCAUAAAACUAGAAGUGAUUUUAUGACUCAUCAAAACAAUUUUGUUUUGGAUGGUCAUUUUAAAUUUUUGUUAUUCAAAAUGAAUUUUUUCAAGGUUUAUGUGGAAGAAAAUAUAUCAAUGACUUCAUAGGAGUGGACUUUUCAAUUUUCUGAUUUAUUUUAAAUUUAUUUUGAAUAUUUUGAUAUAAAAAUAAUAAAAUAUUCUUACCACAACAACAAACCACGUCGGUGUUAAUAAAUUGUAGACGUUGUAAAUUGUAAUAAACUACUAAGUCGUUAAAAUGAGUCGUUAAAAUGAGAAACCAUGGCAGCUAUUUAACUAUACGACGUAAAAUAUAUAUUCCACGACUUAACCGCUGUCGUUACAUAAACGAUAAACGACUAUUAGGGUUGUAAACCAUAAACGACUCAAUUGUUCAAAGAACGUCGUCUAACUAUAUUUUUACGUCGUAUUUGUUUAAAACACGAAACAACAAAAUACGACGGUUUUUGACUUUAUUAGGUCGUUGGAAAAGUAUUACACGUCGGUUAAGCAAUUUGUAUGUUUGUUUUUUUUUUAAUUUAAGAAAACCUCAACAAAUUUUUACAUUACAUAUUAUAGAGAAAAUUUGUACAUUAUACAUAAAUAUCAAGUGUUCAAUAAUUGCCCUGUUUAAUAAUUUGGAAAACAAACUCUGCCCAUUCAUUCCGGACUUCAUCAAUGGCUUCUUGGGGGUAUGAAGCUUCCUGGUUUCCCUUGGCAUACUGCAUAAACAAUGACUAUUAGGGUUUAUAAAUAAAAAGAAAUUCAAUCACAGACAACGAUAUUUUUCAUAACCGACGUAGUAUAUCCAUUCAACGACGUUAAUUUUACAUGACCGUCGUUGAUAAUACAAAAAACGACGUGAAAUGUAUGAAGGUAAUUUCUUCUUACCUUAUUCUCAAACCCCAAGGAAGGAUCCAUGAUGAUGUCCCUCAUGAAGCGCAUCACAUAAUACCCGCAUUCGACAUUGCUGGGUUGCUUUGGUGUGCCUGAGAGAGUUUUCCAAAUUACAUUUUUACGUCCUGCUCGGCCUAUGUGGGUAUUAUAUAUUUUUAAAGCACUGUUCACGAUGUUUUUCGCCUCUUCGUCGACCACACGAUGACCUGGCAGAGGAUCCAGAAAAUAGACGGUCUCCUUCUUUGCUCUUACAAUCAGCAAGAUCCAAUGACGGCUGCACAAAAUUAAUAUAAAAACGACGGUUAUUUACAAAAACGACGUAUUAUAGUAUUUCACACGACGAAAUAAAGUAGAUAACGACGACAUUAUAUAUUUAUCACGACGAUAAAUAAAUACCGACGUGGUUAGUAGUUUCAAACGACUAAAUAAAAUAAAACACCGACGUGGUUAGUUUAUAUGCUGUCAUUUAUUGAAAAUCAUAAAAACAAAAUCCUAAGGAGACUAACCCUGGAUUGUAAGGCAUCAUGAAAAUCUGUUCACCGUCUGUCUUCUGAAGUCGAGCUGCUACCAGUCGUGAUCUUUCAGUUAUUGUGCCAGAGUUGGCACUAACUGUAGCAGGGUCGAUAAAGCCAACCAUGCUGCACAUAUUGGCUUGUUUCAAAACAUCGUGUAAGUACCUAAAUACAUAAAAUAAUAUAAACAAGUCAGCACAAACAAACACGACGGUUAUGUAUAAAAAAACGACGUAUUAUAAUAUUUCACACGACGUACUGAAAUAGAUGAGGACGUUAUAAUAUAUUUAUCACGACGGUAGUUAGUUAAGACGACGUGGUUAGUUAGUUAAGACGACGCAAUAUAUAAACCAACGAGGUAUUAUUUUAGAAGUACAAACCUCAUAUAUACAGCCAAUACAGUAGCUCCAAUUUCUUCCAUGCCUGCAAAUUGUGUAAUAUCUUCAGGCAGGAGGAAGGUAUCGCGCUCACCACCAAACACCUCAUUAUCAAUUGUAAAUUAGAGUGUCUUAUCCUCAGGCAGGAGUGUCGUUUCCACAAAACGACAAAGGGUUUUUAAAGAAGAUGGCGCCUCCAUAUUUGAAUAAGCACCAACUUCAAUAACCUGUUUAAAGAAAUAAAAAAAAUGACGUGGUAAUUCAAUAAAGACGACGGUUUAAGGAAUAAAACGUCGUCUUAAAAGUAUUUAAACGACGGUGAAAAAACUGUCGUGGUAAUUCAAUAAAGACGACGGUUUUAUGAAUAAAGCAUCGUCUGAAACCAUUUAAACGACGGUGCAAAAACCGUCGUUUAAAUAUUUUAUUACGUCUUAAAAAAAGUCCGCCGUCUAAGUUUUAAACAAACGACGGAUUAAAUAAAAAUAUCGACGUCUGAAAUUUUGAAAAACAAAUAAAAAAGGCAAAGUUAUGUGAACAUACCUUGUCGUCAUGCUUUUCUUCAUCUUCUUUCUCCUUUUCUUCUUCCUUCUCUUCAUCUCUUUUUUCUUCUUCCUUCUCUUCAUCUGGCUGAUGUUUCCCCAUUUUGGCAGUAUCAUCCUCCAAAUGUAGGGAUCUCACAUCACCUCCAGAGCAGCUAGCUUUGUCAGACAUUGGAUUUUUGGGGCUUUGGCUAAUUCUUGGUUUAAGCAUGCUUGGAUCAAAAUUGGGAAUUAAUUGGGAAAGCUGACUCAGGAAAUGCUCCCUCUCAGCCUCUACCAAUUGUUUUGUCCUAGCCUCCAUCCUUAAGGCCUCUUCCCUUGCCUUAGCCUCCAUCUUUUUAGUCUCUUCUUGAAGGAGAACUCUUAAACUGUCCUUCAAACGGUCGUCAAAGCUCACCCUCUGUGGUUUAGGCAAAUUGAAAUAUUGCCUUGGGGGAAACACCAGCACCAACUCCCUUCACUCUGCCAGGAUGCUCGGGGCCCAAAGCCAUGGUCAGCACAUCAUUGCUGCCAUCUACUCUGACUUUGCCUUCCGAGACUUGUUUCUGAAAUUCAUCCUAAAAAAAGAUAAACAAAAAAACACACGACGGUUAUUUAUGUACAAACGACGUAUUAUAUAAUUUCACACGACGCAAUAACGUAUAAACCGACGUUAUUAUAACUUAUCACGACGGUAGUUAUACCGACGUGGUUAUUUAUUUAAAACGACGAAAUGAAUAAACUACCGACGUCUUAUGCUAUAAUUAAAGAAAACAGAGUAGUGAUUCCUAUUUAGACCGUUAACGACGUUUUUAAAAAAGUUUCGACGUGGUAAUAUCAUUCAAACGACGCCAAAAUGAACCACCGACGUCUUAUGCUAUAAUUACAGAAAACAUAGUAGUGAUUCCUAUUUAGACCUUUAACGACGUUUUUAAAAACUUCUCGACGUGGUAAUAUCAUUCACACGACAGAAAAUAUAACAUACGACGUAAUAAGAAUAAUUCACAGUUUAAUAAAAAUUUAAAACAGAGUGAUAGUAGGCUUACAAUUAAUUUUGCUUUCUCUGCCACCUUUGGAUCAGGGAUGUUACCAUGUUUGUCCUGUCUAGCUCUCUUCCAUAAGGUAGAUCGAUCAAUUUCUACCCAGGCAUGGUUUCCUCCAAUUGAUCCUCCAAUCCAGCAUAUCCUUUUCGAGACAAUCGAUGAUUGUACUCGAGUUUCUCCCUAAUCUGUGCAUGUUGAGAAUGCACAGACUCAAAAUCUUUGGAUAGCCUUGAAGCUACAAAGGCAUCCCAUUGUGCUUUCUCUAUGAAUUUAUAUGUUUCAGGGGGUUGGCUUAAUUUCUCCCUGUCAUUGGUGUAUGGAAGGAUAUAAUGCCUCGUUAGUGUAGACUUGAAAUCCUUCCAUUUCUUGGAAGCAGAAGCUAAAACAGAGGUCUUGCCCCCUUGGCCUACGACAAAAGCCAUGUCAACUGCUUCCCAAAUCUGCUCCUUUAUAUCCUUGGAGAUUUGGGACCAUUUCUUGUCCACAAGUGGGAUCCUGGAGCGUGCCAACACACCAAUAUACGACUGCAUCUCAAUAUGUGCUUGGCUAACACCUUUUCCCCUUUUAUUGUACUCAACAAUUGGCCUCAGUUUCUGAAGCUUUCUCUUCACAACACGAGGCAUUGUGCUCAUACCUCGACCAGUCUUUGAAUCAUCAGAGAUUGUUGUCUGGCUGGUUGGUUCUGUCUCAGCAGAUGAUGAAGCAAACUUCAUCUUCUUCGAAGACUUCAUCUCCUUCGAAGACUUGUCUUGAGGAGCUACCAUUCCAAGCUUCUUGGAGCCAGAAUCCUUAGUUUGUUGUUGAGAAACCAUUUUAACAGACAAAACUGCAAGUGAAAAUAUUUCAGGAAAACAUUAAGAACACAAACGACGGUAUUAAAAAAAUACGACGUCUGAUAUGAUUUUAGACGACGCAAUGAAAUAAUCUCAGACGUAAUAAAUGUUUAAAACCAUUAUUUAUAUAACGUCGUGGUAUAUAUGUUCACACGACGUCAAUAGUAAUACACCGUCGUGGUAAACUAUUAUUUAUAUAACGUCGUGGUAUUUAUGUUCAUAAGACGUCAAUAGUAAUACACCGUCGUGGUAUUAACAUUCACACGACGUAAAACAAUAAGAUAUUUUGUCGUCUAUAUUAGAUACCAACCCUAGUUUCUUUUUCUUUAUAUUUUAUCAAAUAAGGGAAAAACAAAAACCAUUGUUCAGAGAAAUCAAACCUGCAAUUAAACAAGCAUAUAAAAAAAGACUAUUAUUUUAAAAACAACUUUGUCAAUUUUCAGACGACGCUAGAACAACUGACGAACCGUCGUGGUCUACCGUCGUCUUAUUUAGUUGAGGUAGUUGUCUUCAAAGUUGGAAACUUUCCCUCUUUGUCUGUAUAUUUUAUCAAACUUGGAAAGAAGUAAAAUGAUUUUGGCCAGAAAAAAGGUAAAAAGAUUUUUCAAACAAAAAACGUAUGAGCAUGCAAAACAGUAACCAAAAUAGUGAAAAUGAAAGCUUACCUUUUGCGUGCAAUGAAAGCAAGAGGAAGAUGAUCGAUGUUUAAGUUCAGAGACGACGAAGAAGACGAGAGGAAGACGAUGAGAAACUCUGACAAUGCUCUGACAAGGAAAAAAGACGAAAAGGUUUCUCUGGGAGAUUGAAAUUUUUAAUCGGGUUUGGAAACAGUGCAUGUGUAAGUCGAAAAGUUGCUUACAUAUAAAACCAUUUCAAAAAAAUAAUACGGCGGUUACAUUUAACUACGUCGUUUUUAACUAAAACGACGCAAUAUUUUUCAUUCGACGUGGAAUCAUUUCAUUUAACGUCGUUAGGUUUAAUAUAACCGACGUGGAUUUUAAUUUUUAAAUUAUGAAUAGAAUUUUUUUUCCCGUGACCUUUCAGUUUAUUUUUCAAUUACAGUGCGUUAUAAAUAGAGUUUUUUUUCCGGAGGAAAUUUAAAACGAAGGAAAUUAAUAUUCUGCAAUAUGUAAAGUUUCUUUUUUGGAUGACAGAUUUAAAUAAAAUAAGAAUAUAAAAACAACAAAUGUGUAAGUCAAGUAGACGAAAAGUUGCUUACAUAUAAAACCAUUUCAAAAAAAUAAUAUGGCGGUUACAUAUAACUACGACGUAUAAAUUACAAAAUACGACGGUACAUUUAACUUCGGACGUGGUAAAUAAAUACGACAGUAGUUUGUAGGUACCGUCGUAGUAAACUCAAAAAUUAAAGUACAUAAGUAAUAACUCGCGUCAUGGUAGAUUAUUUAACACGUCGUCUUUAUUAAUUUACCGACGUGGAUUUCUGUAAUAUACGUCGAUCAUACCGACGUUGAUUUUACAAUUUAAACGGCGGUUUUUUUGUAAGGACCGCCGUUGGUUUUAAAAAUUUAUUCUAUAAAUUUGUCGCUUUCAUUCAUUUUCGGUUUACAUUUAAGGUUCCAAGUUCUUCCUCUCUCAGUCUCUCAUGUCUCAAAGACAAUAAUUUGGAUGUUUUCUCAAAGAGAAAUUGAGCUUACUCGCAUCAAAUAUAUGUCCACAAGAAGAAGCUUGUCAACUAGCCUUCUCACUUCCUUGAUCAAGCCUGAUAGGACACUUAAUGCUUCUGAAUACUCCUUGCUUUCCAUCAAAAGAGAUGCAAGCCUGGCCUCCACUCGCUGUCGAAGGAAAGUUCGCUUCUCAGGGAAAUCUGAAGAUCAGAUGUGCCUGAUCCUCUGCUUGAUUUUCUUGCCUAAGAAGAUCCGUCGGAUUUGUGAUAGCCUCUUCCUUUAUCCGUAGAGCUUCAGAAGAAGAAGAUGGGUUUCAAGAAUGCGAUAAAGAAUAGAAAUGGCUUCAGAUGGCCUCUAAAGCAUGAGCAAUUGAAUCAGUAGUUUCUGGGAGAUAUGAUGAAGACAUUGUCAAUGCUUUGAACUAUACAAGUCCUGCAAAAAGAUAUGUUAAAGAAACUGAAACAACGGCGGUUUUCUGUUCUACCGUCGUCUUUUCUCGUCGUCUAUAUUAAGUUAAGAUGGCGGUAGAUUUAUAAUUACCGACGUAGAUUAUUUUGUUAAACGUCGUUAAGUGUAUUACAACCGACGUGGAUUUUAUUUUUAAAUUAUAAAUAGAGUUUUUUUUCCCGUAUUCUUUCAGUUUUAGUUUUCAAUUCCAAAGCGUGAUAAAUAGAUUUUUCUUUCCCGAGGAAAUUUAAAAUGAGGGAAAUUAAUGUUCUAGAAUUUGUAAACUAACACGACGCAAUAUUUGCAAAUCUGUGUCAUCUGUUAAGAUUAUGAUGUGGAACAGAGUUCCAUCUGGUAAGAUUUCGUAACCCUUGGGAUCUCAGACAAAUCUGAUUAUGUCAGCGGUGUUCUAUAUAAACCGUCGUGGUUAUUUCAAUUCUUGUCAUUAAGUAGAUCUACCGACGUAGGAUAAGAAAAUCAAAGAAAAAAAUUGUUAACAAAAAUUCUUAUUAAGACGACCGUUAAAAUUAAAGGUACGACGUAUAAAAUGAAUAAAUACGACGAUAAAUUUUAUUGUACGAUUUAAAGAUAACGUCGUAGAACUAUACGAGAAUGACGUCGAUAUAUUUAUAUUUUCCGUCGUUGUAAAUUUAUUUAAUACGGCGAUAUUUUGUAUUUUAAAGCCGUGGAUUUGUUUGUAAUUAUACGGCGUCUUAUACGAAAACCUCGUCGUGUUAUUUUAUGAGUAAAAACGGCAGUUUUUAUUGAAAUCGUCGUCUUUACUUUCUACGUCGGUCGAUUCAUAACUUCUGCCGUUCUUUGUUGGCAUUGAUUUUACACUGCGGAAAUCUGUUUCAAAUAGACGUUGGUUGUUUAAUUAUGUACGUCGUUGUUUUUGAACAGCCAUUUGAAACUCCAUUUUUUAGUUGUCUAAGGUUGUAUUACACGACGGUGUUUUUAGAACCGUCGUCUUUUUAUAAACCACGACGGUUUUCACUUAGACCGUCGUUGUUUUCUAGUCGUCUUUUUCACUUUUUGUAGUAGUGACGAUAAACAUCCUCGUGAAACCACAAUCUGCUACGUUCACCAGGCUCAUUUGGUGACUCUUGAUAAACUAAUCCUCUACCCAAUUCUUCAAGCAAGUCAUGCAUCCCAAUUGUGCCAUGCUCAAUAUUUAUGAGGGCCUUGUCUACGAGUACUUUAAUAGCAUACUUAGGCUUGAGGUCACAACCUUCCAGGAUCGGUAUCACAUUGUACACCUUUCUACCUUUAAAGAAACAUGCUAUGUCAAGGAAAACUUCUUGCACUGAAUAUUCCAAUGCAUCAUAGCUUAUUUUGAGAGUUUUUUUAAUGUCCGAGUGCAGAUUCCCAUCCAAUGCAUCAUGUCACUCAUCUAUACUUCUACCACAUAGAUGAGAACCUAAAACCUUGAGAGCUAAAGGAAGACCUUGAGCAUGCUUCACCACAGUUUCUGCAGCUUUCACAUAAUCAUCAUCCAAAUUUUUAUUUCUCCCACCAUUCCAACUAAUGAAGAGAUCAAGAGAUUCACCAAAGUCUAAUUUCUUGGCCUUGUAUAUUAUACUAACUUGAUGAGAAGUUAGCAAAUGCUUAUCUCUUGUCGUUAUGAUAAUUCUACUGCCCAAACCAAACCAAUCACAACCUCCAACUAAGUUGUUUAACUGGUCCAAAUGAUCCACAUCAUCUACAAUUACAAGGACCUUUUUACGACUCAACCUUUCCUUUAUCACAUUGAUUCCUUUAUCGGCACUGGUAACCUUUAUGGUCGCUUACUGAAAAAAGCUAGUCAUGAAGUUUUCAGGGGGAGAUAUUCAUCAGGGGGAGCAUGGUAUUAAUAAAGACCUUCACACACUGUACUCUUUUUCCUUCAUCCAGGUUUUUAUCCCACUGGGUUUUUCCUGGUAAAGUUUUAACGAGGCAGUAUCGCUGAAGAUUGACUCACAGAAGCAGUGUCAACUACGAUAUUCAGAAAGAUGAUCAACAGUAUGGCUUAAAGAUAUUUUGCCAAGCAUCAGGGGGAGCGUGCUACCAAUAAAGAUCUUCAAACACUGUACUCUUUUUCCUUCGUCCAGGUUUUUAUCCCACUGGGUUUUUCCUGGCAAGGUUUUAACGAGGCAGUGUCGCACGCGUGUCAAUAUACACAGAAUUUUAUGUUACACAUGAUUAUGUACUCUUUUUCCCUUUGACCAGUUUUUGUCCCAUUGGAUUUUUACUGGCAAGGUUUUUAACGAGGCAUAUUCCAUAUCAUUUGUGGUCUCCAAGGGGGAGUGUUGUAAAUAAUAAGGUGGAGCCCACCUCCAAUUGAAAGAGGCUUUGCCUACAAAAGGGUUCACACCAUUCCUUUGUAAUUUGAGAUUGAUAAUACUAAGAGAGGAAUCCUACUGUUUCCUCCUAUCUCAAUUCCCUCUCCACUUUCUCUAGAUUUAUAACAUUUUCAACAUUUUUCAUGUAUUUUUCGGUUUCAUAUCGUGAUAUAUUGCCCAAAUAAUGCAUGAAAAAUGUUGAAAUUAUCGUCUACGACAUUAUCCCGAUAAUAUCGACAAAAAUAUUGAUAUAUUGACGAUAAUUAAGUGGAUAUGUGCAAAAAUAUCUCCCACUCAAAAAAGAAUUGACGAUAUUUAAUACUAUGGUUGUGAUCAAUGUUAUGGCUAGUACCCAAUGUUAUAUAACUCGCAAGAAAGAAUUCAACCUACCCGUAGUUUAGACAGUAACUAUUUAAUUAAAGAUUACAAUCUGGUUUGGUUAAGUUAACUGACUAUAUAUAUUCUGGAAAAAAAAAAACUGACUAUAUAUAUAUUUAUAAAUAAAUAAAAACAACUUGUGUACUUUGUUUUUGUUUGUUUAUUUGUUAAAAAAUAAUAUAUGGUUUAAUGGGUUGUCUUGUUAAGGGAAAGCAAUAAUUUAAACUUUUGGAAAAACAAUAAUCCCAAAUGUAAGAACCAUUCAUCCACUAAUAGCUUGCAAAAAUAUAAUUUAAAUGGAAAAACAAAAAACAAAUACACUAGUAAUAAGUUGGGAGAUUCAUUAUAAUACCCAAUAUAGGAGUCCAAAUUAUAAAAAAAGCCCUAUAUGAAAUAGACUUUAGAAACACACCAAAAGCUCAUUUACAACAUAACAAAAAGGCUUUUAACUUCUUUUAAAUUACAAUAUUGCCAUUGAUUUCUUAAAACAAACCCAGCCCAAAAACCUCAUAAAAAAGCCCAAAACACUCAAUGGGGCAUCGAAGUAAUUUAAUGAUUAUAAUUAAAUUCAACAGGGUCUGCUGUCAUUUUUUGGGUUUUUUUUGAGUAUGUUUAUAGAAAUUAAAUAGUGUAGGAUUUAUUUAUAGUUUUAGUGCUAAGAAUGAGUAUUUGACUAAAUAUUUCUAAUGAGUUUAUGUAUCUACUAAAACUUAAUUACAUGGAGGCAAUCUAAUGGAUCACUAAUGAUUUUUUAAUCAAAACAACCUAGUUAUAUAUAAUUACUGAAAAAAAUAAUAAUCUCAUUUUUCACGGCCCGAGAAGCGAGCAAAGGUCCUUCAACAAGUUAAACAUGUUUAGAAGGUGUCACCAAGGCACAAAACGGUCCAUAAGCAAACGAACUUUGGCAUCUGAAAGCGUAGAGGAAUCCAAGUCCCUCUGAAUCUGAGCCAUUCUGCUGCUCUCUUUUCUUGCUUCUUUCAACACUUGUCGUUGUUCUUCAACCUCAUCAUCACCUUCUCCUUGCUUGGCCUUUGAUGAAAACACCAUUCGCUUCUUAGCCCCCACCUUGUCUUUCAGCUUUGCCAACUCGCUCAUCCAAACCUCCACCACUGCAGACAUGCUUGAACUUGAAAACUUGAAAUUCUGGCUUGGUCUUGAAUCUUGAGUUUGAUCAAGGAUGAUGAGGAGAGCUGGCUAUUAUGGUUGUUGGUUAUAUAGAAGACAGAGAGAGAGAAAGAGGGCCUUGCCCUUCAUGUGGUUUGGAUUGGAUGAAAAAUCAGUUUGUCACAGACAGCCGUUGGUUAUAGGCUCGCACACAGGAUUAAGUUUUAGGAAUCUUCCUUGGAAAGAGAGAGAGAGAGAGAGAGAGAGAGAGAGACAAGAAAGGGGUAUGAGUUUUGUUGUGUGAAUGAAAAGCUUCCCCGCGGGCGGGCGACUUGGCAUAUCAUCAAUAGUAUUCCAUUGCGAAUCUCUUUCUCCGAAAUACCUAUUCACCUCUUCAUCAUCAUCUUCAGUAAAAGUAGCCAUCUUCAUUAUCUUCACAGCUGAAGUAGUCAGGUUCCGAGUCUUGCUCAUCUUCACAUAGAUCAACACAAUUAUCUCCAUCAAACCUCUCAUUAGCAUCUUCCAAGUUAUCGGAUUCAGACUCACCAUCUUCCGUAAAUAUAGACAGGUCUUCAUCAUCCUGUGUCAUUACCAGGUGGACCCCGAAGCUUUUAAAAUGCAGCGAAUCUUGUGUCAAAUUCUGGAAAUUAACUCGACACGCAAAAGGCGACUGCGGCCAGGUAAUCCGAUCAGCCCGGUAAAACAUUUCUCUGAAUCGAAUAUAGCACAGCCACACAUGACCUGACCCUAUCUUUCUGAAAUGGUAAUCGAACCGAAUAAAAUGAGGUAGCACUCCAGGCUGAUUGACGGAAAUUUUUGUUAGAAAACCAUGGUAACGUCGUCUUUUAUUUUGCGGGUUUUCAACAGCAGCGUAUAGAGCCAAUCCUUGGUUCUGGCAUUUGAAGUUUGGAGGGAUUUCAAUCAAAAAUUCACAUGAUUCAUCACGCUCCUUCACAUACUUAUGACAGCUGAACAACGUCGAGAGAGCUACAAAACUUGCUGGGAAUACAACCUGAAAUCCAUGUUUCUGUGAAGACAGAAGGUGAUCAAAGAAGAGAGUGAUCUGCUCCUUUGCUAAAAUGUUUUGCUUCUUUGUGAGGUCACGAGCCAGAUUGCCGCACAGUCUCUGGCAAUUACACAAGUCCACGAACUCAAUCAUUUGUGAGUCUUUUUUACCUUUCAAAAUGUUGGACAAUGAUGAAAACCUUUCCAAUGAUACGCAAUCACUCGCCUCUAACUUUACUAUUUUUGGUGGAAGUUCCGGAAUAUCUCGAAGCCUCUUGCAGCCAUGCAAGUAAAGAUCCCGCAAAUUGACAAAUUUCGUAAUGCAUUCGGGAAUACUUACAAGGAAAUCACUUCGUGUUAGAUCAAGCAUGCUCAAUGUAGACACACAAUCAAGAGUCCAGAGGAAAUUAAAUUCUGAUAAAUUGCUUCCUUCCAAAAUGAAUUCCUCAAGACUGGGAAGCGCUAAAGGAUGUGAUACUGCACUCCCCAAAACUUCAGACUUCACUUUAUUUGGAAAUGUAACAAGCUUUCGACUUCCUUGGAGACAAAUUUGGUUUAGAUGUUCCAACUCAUAAAUGCUGGGCGGCAGAUUCGUAAGAUUUUCACAACUUCUUAGGUCUAAAUAUUCAAGACUGAUGAGAUAGGCAAUUGACGCAGGCAAUUCUUUGAUGCCACUACCACGUAGAAACAUGCGACGUAAGGAAUCCAUCUUUCCCCCAAUUUCAGGGAAAGUCUCUAGUCUUGUGCAAUCUUCAAGAUUGAGAACUUCUAGAGAUUUUGACUUGAUUAUUGGAAAUCGUGUGAGGUUAUGGCAACUCUCAAGCCUCAAGUCCACAAGCUUAUCAUGAAAUCCAACAGAAGGAUGAACCUCAACUAAACUUGUGCAGUCGUCUAGAUUCAAGGACUGUAAGUUUGGAAUUCCAGAGAUAUUUGGUGUUUUUGUUAGGAAUUCACAACUCCUAAAAUCCAUGGACGUCAAAUUUUGCAAACGCUAAAAUAGAAAAGAAAAAGAAGGAUGAAACGAUAAGGCAUAAACAAGUUUAAGCCAUAACUCCAAAAACUUAAUAAACUUUUGAAAAUACGAAGGGAUGAAAAUAAUUUAAAUUACCUUGAAUCCCUCCCCAAGUUGUGACAAGCGGCUACAAGGCAUAUAAAGUUCAACAAGUUUCCUUGGAUUGAAAGUAGAUGGUAAAGUUUGUAAAGGACAACCAGGCCAAUGAAGAAACCUCAACUCAUUAGAUAGAUAAUCCACGUGAUCGCCAUAAAAUCGUGCAUUCACAUUGAUGAAAAGUCGAAGGUUUUUCAUCUUUGAGAAGCUGUCAUCACUCAAGCAUAUGUCAUCUGGUGUCGGAAACUUUGCUAUGAUGCCUUUAAUAUUGUUUGUUCCCUAUUAUCAAAAAUAAAAUAAAAAGUAGUGUUAACAUACAAAGCUCUAUAACAAAUAAAAAUGCAAGUGUACACACACACACAGACUUACUGUUCCUUCUGUUAGAACACGAUAAACAUCCUCGUGAAACCACAAUCUGCUACGUUCACCAGGCUCAUUUGGCGACUCUUGAUAAACUAUUCCUCUACCCAAUUCUUCAAGCAAGUCAUGCAUCCCAAUUGUGCCUUGUUCAAUAUUUAUGAGGGCCUUGUCUACGAGUACUUUAAUAGCAUACUUAGGCUUGAGGUCACAACCUUCCAGGAUCGGUAUCACAUCGUACACCUUUCUACCUUUAAAGAAACAUGCUAUGUCAAGGAAAACUUCUUGAACCGAAUAUUCCAAUGCAUCAUAACUUAUUUUGAGAGUUUUUUUAAUGUCCGAGUGCAGAUUCCCAUCCAAUGCAUCAUGCCACUCAUCUAUACUUCUACCACAUAGAUGAGAACCUAAAACCUUGAGAGCUAAAGGAAGACCUUGAGCAUACUUCAGCACAGUUUCUGCAGCUUUCACAUAAUCAUCAUCCAAAUUUUUAUUUCUCCCACCAUUCCAACUAAUGAAGAGAUCAAGAGAUUCACCAAAGUUUAAUUUCUUGGCCUUGUAUAUUAUACUAACUUGAUGAGAAGUUAGCAAAUGCUUAUCUCUUGUCGUUAUGAUGAUUCUACUGCCCAAACCAAACCAAUCACAACCUCCAACUAAGUUGUUUAGCUGGUCCAAAUGAUCUACAUCAUCUACAAUUACAAGGACCUUUUUACAACUCAACCUUUCCUUUAUCACACUGAUUCCUUUAUCGGCACUGGUAACCUUUAUUUCCUUUCCCCUUAGAAUCUCAUAAAGAAGAAGAUUUUGUAGGUCGACUAGGCCUCCAUAUGGUAUUGAUCUUUCUCUUACAUUUUCCAGAAAACAACUCCCUUCAUACACAUGGGCCAGUGAGUUAUAAACAGCUUUAGCAAGAGUUGUCUUUCCUAUUCCACCAUUCCCCCAUAUUCCUACCAUGCGAACAUCAUUUCCGUCAACAUCUAAAACUUUAUGAAGAUCUUGUACACGAGCCUCUAUUCCGACUUGGUAUUUUGCCACAUUGAUAUGGGUAUCAUAUAAUACUUGUAAGGAAAUCUCGUUGACAAUGUUCUGAAUAAAUUUAGUUUCACGGCUGCCAAUUUCAAGAACAAACAACAUUUAAAUAAAAUAGGAUUUUUCUAUAUAUGUUUUAAAGAGAUGCUCGACUCGAUACUAGUGUAAAUUAUGUCGUGAAUCUAUAUAUAUAAAGCAAAAGGCAAAGAAUGAUGAAACAUUCAAAAUAUCAAAAAAUGGUAGAACUAUAGUAUUACACAUGUAUAUUACACGAAGCCUUGUAGUCUCCUCUGUUUCUAUAUUACUUUGUUUCUAUUAGAUUGUGUGAGGCUUAGAUAUAAGACUAGUGUUUGGCUUUCUAGUAGAUUUCUUAGUUACAAUACACAUUACAACACUUCAAUCCUAUUUAUUUGCAAGUUUUCCGGCAAGACUGCCGACUUGACCAACCGUCAUGUCUACGACUUGGCUUUAUCAAAUAUUAUCAGCCACAUAAGCUGCGGCUUGCUCUAGACUAGAGCAUUUUACAAAACUCCUUAUUUGUUUAGCCGGCAUAGUUCACCGACUUGGUCAUUUAGUCCAGUAGAAACCCCAUAUUUUUAAAUAUGUAUAUUAAUAUUUUGUAAAAUUAUUUAUUUAUAAUUAUUAGUUUUCAAAACUAUAUAAUUGAUAAUAUAUAUAUUAGUUGGAUGGCAAGUUACGUGAAUCUAAAAAUUAACUAGUAUAGCCUAUCAUAUCUUAUUGCAAGGCUUUAACUAAAUCAAUUCAUUCCAACCUUAUUUAAUAUUUAUUAUAUACACACACUUUACAAAAGCAUUUAGAAAGAUUUUUUGUUUGCUUACUAAGCUUGGUAAUAUUAUUUGAUUAUUAUCUUUGAUAUUGGUUGUUUACAUGUUGUCAAUUAUCAUUAUAAUUUGAUUAAUAUUGACAUAUUCAUAUGUUAUCUGUGGUGUUUGGAAUUCUUGGGUUAGUAAAACAAAUUAUGGAAAAGAGGGUAAUGGAAAGGUUCUUUUGUGUAGUUGAGUCUGACCAUUGCAGGGACCAAGUUCAGGCGAGCUCGUGUGCAUCGUAGAUUAGGAAAUCGGCGGUAUAAAUGUCGAUUGGGUGAUUUGAGCUUGGAGAUCAUUGGUUGUAGACAAGAUGACUAGCAAAAGGGGAAUUAUGGGAUAACUGAGAUGGGUGCUAGUUUAUAUAAUGGGGCAUUCGGAAUCACAGUGGUAAAAUGCAUGGUAUGGGACAUGCAAAUUUGCUUGCCCUAUUAUAUAGAUUAACGGGUUGGGAAAAAUUGAAGUUCAUUCAUGCAUUGCAUAAAUUGUACAUUAUAAAUCUCACUAAUCACAUAAAACAUAGGACCCCUACUCAGCAUGUAGUGCUCACCACUAAUUGAAACUAUUGCAGGUUUUGAAUCUAAAGUUUAGUUUGUGACGAGGAAACAAGAAGAAUGAGUUGUGGAUAGUUUUGAAUGUUUUGUUGAAAGUUUGUUACUUUCUUUUUAUUUUAUUUGUAAAAUUACAACGUUAAUUACUUUGAUUUAAAUAGAAGUUUAUGUUCAAUCUUCAUGUUUCUUGAUAUUUUAUUUUUUUUAAUUUUAAUUUUUCUUUUACCUCACACUCCAAAUAUAAAAAAAUGAUUGGGAUGUGACACUACUACAAUUAUCUUAGAUAUAUGAUAGCUAUUGUAGCACUUUGGGAUUCUAAAUUAUUAGUCUAGAGAUUUCUACCAAAUGUCCAUCACAUUUGAACAGUUACAACAACAGAUUCUGCAACAGUGGGAGAAAUAAAUUGAAAUUAAAGCAGGGCCUCCGGAUCCUAAAUGUAUAUUAAAGAUAGAAAUAUACCGCAUUUAGAAAAGAAAUAUAUAUAUUUAUAAAUAAAUAAACAUACCCCUCCAAGUAAUGCGACCCAGACAAAUUUGCAGCUUCUGUAAGGGUUUCCUUCCAUCUCAGCACCUUCUUCAUAUUGUCCUCGAAUUUACUUUCAUCAUGGUUAGUAAGUCUCUGUUCUUUGAAUUUGCGUUCAUGGUUAUUCAGUGCCUCGCCAUAACUACCUCUUUGGUUCCUUACAUCUGAGGGAUCCACUUUGUAGAAAACUGGCCAAACCAUCUGUUGCUUUGAUUUUCUACACUGAAUGAUAUGAACAAGUUCAUCCAAGCACCACUUCGAGGAUGCAUAGUUUUCAGAGAAUACGAUGAUGGAACACCUCGAUCCUUCAAUUGCAUCAAGAAGUGCUUGUGAUAUUUCUUCUCCUCUUGGGAGCUCAUCAUCUAUGAAGGUUCUGAUGCCCCUCUGGACCAAAUUUUUGUGUAGAUGGUCUGUGAAAUUGUAGCGUGUGUCCUCACCUCUAAAGCUGAGAAACACAUCGUGUGUCCAUGAAUUGGUGAAAGAAGAAGAAGAAGAAGGGGAAGGAGCUCCUAAUAAUUGAGUGGUGCUUAGAUCCAUAUUGUUGAAAAUUGAACAGGCUGAAAGGGUUGGAAAUUAUGGUGAUUUAUUGUCCAAGAGUUUCUGGUUGGCAAUGUCAGUGGAGAGAAGAAACAUGCGAGUGAAAAAUCUUGGUCUUUCUGGGCCCCAAGAGCUCCUACCCCUGCUGGGUCUCUCUAGACCCGAGGGACAGUUUAACCAAAAAUAAACGUAGUAAUAAUAACACACUGGUAACAGCACUCUCACCCAAUUGUCAUGACAAAUAGCAAGGGUUGUUACUAUUUAUGCAAAAUUGAUCAAAGAAAGUAUUCGGUACUCUAUCAUUAAGACAAUUUACGCCCCACUACAUUGCUCAUGGUUGCGUUUGUCUCCUAAGAUACAACCACCACUUACAAUUGUAACUUUUUUCAUUUUACAUUUCAAACUUCAAAUCCAGUCGGCAAUUAGACCAGUAUUAUGCAGUUACAUAAAAAUUUGAAUGCAAACCCUUUGUGUCUAGAAACAAUUCUGCACUAAAAAUAGUUUUCAGUUCAACAUUGGUCGUGUGUGUUUAUUUUCUUGUCUCACCACAACAACUUCCAAAACCACAGCAAAGCUAGCUACAGUCAUUUUGUCACAAAAUUGUUCGUUUGUUAAAAAUAGUUUAUGGUUUAAUGGUUUGUUCUGUUAAGGGAAAGCUUGGUUGCAAUAAUUAAACUUUUGGUUUAUAUAUAAUUUCUUUAAAUCCAAAUGUAAGAACCAUUAAUUCAUCCGCUAAUAGCUUGCAAAAAUAUGAUUAAAAUGGAAAAACAAAAAACAAAUACACAUCAAAUUAAUAGUACAGUUAUAUAUAUGCAAGAUUAGACUAAUAUUUUAAACAUGUUUACAAGGUGUUCACCAAGGCACAAAACGGUCCAUAAGCAAACAGACUGUGGCCUCUGAAAGCGUAGAGGAAUCCAAGUCCCUCUGAAUCUGAGCCAUUCUGCUGCUCUCUUUUCUUGCUUCUUUCAACACUUGUUCUUCUUCAACCUCAUCAUCAC